UUCUCCACCAAAUUUGUUCUUCUUGGGAAGAUUUUAGCAAGCAAACAGUUACUUUCUCUUUCUCUCAACGGAUUUUCCGAAGCUUUCUAUCAAAAUUACACUACAAAAUAAAAUCUCAUAUCCAAACAGAAUCCAGAAACUGGAUUGUCCUUUCUCUCUCUCCACUCCGCCUUUGAAUUCAAAAUCUCACUCUCACUUCUCAGUCAUUCUGUUUCUUGAAUACGUUUCUGUUUUGAUCUUUAUUUCUAGAUUUAAUAUUCUUCUUUUUUUUUUUUACUAUUUUGAUUUGUGGGUUAAAUAUGCUUUUUUUUGGUGAGUCAGAUAAUUCAAAAUGCAGGCCUCAACACAUUUAAUCAAAGGAAAUUUAGGCUUUGAGUUUUCAAAACGAAGAGUUUUACCUUGUUUUGGUAAAGUUACGGAACUGAAUUUAACUUUGGAUUGUAAUAUUUGCUUCCGAAGUGGUUCCAUUUGCAGCGGUUUAAACUCCGGUGCCGUUUCAAUGGGAGCUGAGCCCGCACGAGCCAGAAAUGGCAUCGAAACUGUCGUUCGCUCUUCGGUCAAAUCUCGAUCGAUCAAAGCCCAGGCUUCUGGUGUAGACAUUGAGGAUUUGAAACUGAUCAACCCUCAGGGAAAAUCAUCUGGGACAGUUCUGCCAUUUGUCGGUGUUGCUUGCUUGGGAGCUAUAUUAUUUGGUUACUCAUCUAGGGAUGGGUUGCAGCACACUUCUUGCUGGUGCCACUGCUGGUUCAUUUACUGGGGGAGAACUGGCAGACAAGUUUGGCAGGACAAGGACUUUUCAAUUAGAUGCUAUCCCUCUUAUUAUUGGAGUGUGCUACGGCCCAGACUGUCCAGACUAUGAUGAUUGGCUGUUUACUGGCCAGUGUUGGUAUUGGUAAUCAUCUUCUAUUGUUCUGCUUUACAUAUCUGAGAUCUCACCAACUGAAAUCCGUGGUGCCCUUGGAUCUAUAAACCAACUUUUUAUAUGCGUUGGGAUUCUUGCAGCGUUGAUGGCUGGAUUACCUUUAGCUAGAAACCUGUUAUGGUGCAUGUACGUCCCUGCUCAAAGAAUUGGGGGCAAAUCCCUCCUUCCCCAAAAAAGUUGUACCAGAUAAAAAAAAGAAGAAAAGGAAAAGCUCCAUCUGACUAGUUCGAAUGUUUAAUUUUGUGUAGGUGGAGGACAAUGUUUGGUAUGGCUGCUGUCCCUUCUAUUUUAUUGGCGCUAGGAAUGGCUUUUUCCCCAGAAAGUCCUCAGUGGCUGUUACGUUUAUUAUUGGACUACUCAGUCUCUUUAUUUUGCAUUUCUAUUCAUCUCACAUCGAUAUAUAUAUAUAUAUAUAUAUAUAUAUAUAUAAUAUUGAUUCCUUGUUGAUUGAACACAUCAAUUUCGCAGCAAGGGAAAAUUCCUGAAGCUGAAAAAUCUGUAAGAACAUUAAAUGGAAAGGAAAGAGUUGCUGAGGUUAUGUAUGAGUUAAGAACUGCAGGUCAGGGUUCUACAGAACAAGAAACACGUUUUCUUUUUUCUAAUUUGUUUUGAAAAAAAUUGUUUUUUUGGUGAAUUCUUUGAAUUUAGAGAGAGGAGCAGUUUUAAUAUGGUCUUUUUGUGGUAUGUAUGUGUUGUGAUAAAUUUUGAUGGUUUUGUUCAUGUUUAUUUUGCCCUUUAGUCUAUUGCAGUUGAGUAUGGAAAAGGUUUUGAGGCUUUUAGGCUAGACGGGCCUUUAAUGGUUGAUGUGGUAAGGAAUUUAAGUGACUCUACAUUCACUCGAUUUGUGUGUCAGUGAUUUCAAUGAGUUUGGCCAUCUUAUUGGCUUACGAAUUUCUUUUGGUUUGAAUAGGAUUACUUGAAUGAUAGAUUACAAGAAGGUUUUCUUAAGCGAAUUCGCUAUACCAUGAAACCAGAUAAACCAUAUGGUCUAAUUUUCUCUUAGGAUAAUGUGGUGGUAAAACAAGCAAUUUUCAUAUAUCUCAGAGUCAUAUGAUGAUGGAUAUAUACUUUUAGUUGACCUUUUAUGUAUAUUUACUUGUCUUUGUGAUGUGGGAUUAAAUAUAGUGAAUUAAGUUUGUGAUAUAACAGUCCUAACCAAAUAAAAAUAAAUGGCUAUCAUGCCAAACAUGUUUUUAACUUUGUGUCUCUUUUAAAUAAGGUACUUGGAUUUAGUGUUAUCAAGGGUGCUAGGUGCACUAUAGGCUCUAGAACCCUUAGGUGCAAUGUGCAAAAAAAUUGCUUGCCCAAGUGAAGUAAGGUGCAAUGAGGAAGAGAAGGAGCAUAGAGAUAAAGAAAGGAUGGUCAAGCUCCGCACUCUAGGUAACAUUCCACUAAUUGGUAAGCUUCUGAAGCAAAAAGGGUAUCUAAGAAAGUAGUCCAUCAUAUCGUACAGGUUAUUGCCAAUACAUCCUUUCUCAUCCAGGGAACUUAAAUUUAUUGUACGUUAUGCUAAAUCAUUUUUUGCCUAUUUUGUCAAAUAGGAACUUUUGGGCCCUAACACUAGAGCUUGCCUUGCAGAGGAGAAUGUUGAAGCCAUUUGUCAGUUCUUCAACACUAUUGGUAAGCAACUUGAUGAGAGUUCAAAAUCACAGUGCAUAAAUGAUAUGUACUUCACCAGAUUGAAGGAAUUGAUUACAAAUCCUCAGCUUGUGCCAAGAUUGAGAUUUAUGGUUCAUGAUGUUCUUGAUUUGCAUGCAAACAAAUGGAUUUCCCAGGCAUGAGGAGAAGGCAGCAAUUGGAUAGCUUCUUGUGGCUUAGAGAAAAUGUGAUGGUCUUUUUUUUGGGCAAAACUUAGUGUCCAUACAUUCUUGUGGCUUUGAUGACUUUUACUAUGGCAAUAGCCAAUACUCAAGUCUAUCUCUGAUAGAGAUUAAAAGUGAGCCAUCAUACCAAGAUUCAUUAAAGACUUGCUCAAAUCUUAGUUCUUCAUUUGAUGGUUCAUGCAAAAAAUGCCCCGAUGCAAUGCGAAAUGCAGUGGAUAACUAAUCGGAACUGUUGCAAAGGAAAAAAAUCAUACUGAAAGAGCAAUAUGUGGAUCGGCAGUUGUUAUUUCAAUUGCUGCUGCAAAAAUUGAUAAUCACCCUUUCAUCAUUGAUUUGUUCAGCUGUAUGUCUUCUUCAAACGUUUUGGGUAAGAAUUAGAGAUUAGGUAGUAUCACUUUUACCUCCUUUUCAAUUAUUUUGUUUUGUCCUAUAAUUGUACUAUUUUGCCUAACAAAUCGUAGCUACCUCAAAAUGAAAUGUAAGUUUAACCAUUUUUCUACUUUUUACUGUUAAGUACAAAUCGAGGUCUGUUAGGCUUUGACAUAGCAGGAGCAACCUUUAAAGAUAACUUUUCUUUAUUUAUUUAUGCUAAGAUGCAUUUGUUUUUUACAUGCUAACCGAAUUGAAACGUAUAACUUUUUUACUCUCUUUAGUCUUUUGAACUUCUAGUACUCACUGAAAUAGUUCUGAUGUUGGUGUUGCAUUCCAUGCUCCCUUGUGUGAGGAGGUAAUUAAUGAAAAUUUGCUUUGCAUUCCACGCUCUCUCUUGGCGCUAAGAAUGAUAAAAACUUGACAGUUCCAACUCCAACUAAGAGAGUUCAAGAGCUGGAAUGGUUAAAGAAAGACUUGGAGAGGAGAAACUACGAGUUGCAGGCUUUGUAGAA